rnacentral:rRNA from 1 species
GAUGAACGCUGGCGGCGUGCCUAAUACAUGCAAGUCGAGCGAACAGACGAGGAGCUUGCUCCUCUGACGUUAGCGGCGGACGGGUGAGUAACACGUGGAUAACCUACCUAUAAGACUGGGAUAACUUCGGGAAACCGGAGCUAAUACCGGAUAAUAUAUUGAACCGCAUGGUUCAAUAGUGAAAGACGGUUUUGCUGUCACUUAUAGAUGGAUCCGCGCCGCAUUAGCUAGUUGGUAAGGUAACGGCUUACCAAGGCAACGUUGCGUAGCCGACCUGAGAGGGGGAGCGCGCACGUGAGGGGGAGCACCCGGCCCGGGCCUGAGGGGCGGCACGGAGUGGGAAGCGUGGCGAAAGGGGGGAAGCCGGCACAAUGGGCGGCGGCGUGAGGAAGAAGGGUCGCGGGCUGGAAAACCUCUUUUAUGGGGAAAAAAAAAUUGGUAAGGUAAGAAGCCUGGUUGACGGUAACCGAAAAAGAAACCCCGGGUAAAUCCGUG